rnacentral:rRNA from 1 species
GAUGAACGCUGGCGGCGUGCCUAAUACAUGCAAGUCGAGCGAAAAGACGAGGACCUGGCUCCGCUGACGUGAGGGGCAGGGGGGUGAGUAACAUGUGGACAACCUCCGUAUAGGAGGGUGAUAAGGUCGAGGACCGGGAGCUAAUGCCGAAGAAUAUAGUGAACCACCGGGGGCAAUACGGGAAGACGGCUUUGGUGUUGCCUGUAGGUGGAUCCGCGCCUCAUUGGCUAGUUGGUCAGGUAACGGCCUACCAAGGCGACGAUGCGUAGCCGGCCUGAGAGGGUGACCGGCCACACUGGAACUGAGACACGGCCCAGACUCCUACGGGAGGCAGCAGUAGGGAAUCUUCCGCAAUGGGCGAAAGCUUGACCCAGCAACGCCGCGUGUGUGAUGAAGGUCUUCGGGUCGUAAAACUCUGUUAUUCGGGAAGAACACCUUUGUACGUAACUAGGCACGUCUUGACGGUACCUGAUCAGAAAGCCCCGGCUAACUACGUG